rnacentral:lncRNA from 1 species
ACUGCCUAAAAACCAGGUUCAACCCAGAACGAAGAGCAACAAACGUUCAUUUACUGCAGGGCUGAGCCCAAAUUGCCCUUUGCAGGCCUGGCCUCAGUCUGGGAUGCAGCCACAAGCUUUCUGCUGCCUCCAAACCUGCCCUUUUCACUGCUGAGUUAGUGCCCCUUGGACCUGCCGGCGGCUCUCAGGCGCUGCCUUUUAGUUUAAUUGGUAAUGGCAGGUAGUGAUCCGAGAGACAAAGGAGCCUAAUGAACAAUCCUGGGAUCUUCACAGGACGUGCACUUUUAAGCAUGAAUAUUUUAAAAUAUUUUGAUAGGAAGGAAUAUUGUAUAAUUUACUGAAUUUUUAAUAGAAUUUUGCUUUUAUUCUCAUAUAGGCUCAUCAUUUCUGUAGUUACUGCAGCCUAGCUAAUUAACACAGGGUUGGGAGACUGAUUAAAGGAAGGGUUUGGGUAUCUGUAUUGUUCUGGUUUAAUUGCUGCUCAGGCGAUGAUUCAGUGUUGUGUUUGGCAGCUGAGCAGCAGUUGUCUGGCACUGUGAAAUUCCCCGCUUAUGUCCACGAGGCUCAUCUGUUGCUGACUGGCAAAGUAACCAAUUGGAAAGAGAGAGAUCCUUUGCAAGAAUUAAUGAGAAGGUGGAAUCAGGGAAGACUUAUUUAAACAUUAGAAAACUUCCAGAAAAAUUGGAUCAGUUUACUACCGAGUUGGACGUGAAAGGUGAACACUGAAUUUUCUAUUACUUCAUUUUAAUGCAAUGUGUACACCUCACUAUUUGAUAAAUUCAGACCUUCUGGGGAAAAACUGAGAAUCACAUUUUGGACACAAAGGAUCAGAUGUUGACUUACAUUGCAGAGACUAUUGGUUUAAUUUUCUAGUUUGAGGGGAAAAAAAUGUUUCUCUGCAAUAUUUUGAAAUUUCAGGGAGUUGUUUUCACACUGGAACCCCUGUUGUUAGCUGUGUGCCACAUCUGUGGGUAGGAGGUUCUUGGGCGAGUGGGGAUGCUUAAAGAAAAGGACAACACGUAUAGCAGUAUAGAGGGAAAAAACAAAAAAAUAAAAAAUAAAAAAACCUGAGGAAUUUUUUGAGG